rnacentral:rRNA from 1 species
UACGGAGGGUGCAAGCGUUAUCCGGAUUCACUGGGUUUAAAGGGUGCGUAGGUGGGUAGGUAAGUCAGUGGUGAAAUCUCCAAGCUUAACUUGGAAACUGCCAUUGAUACUAUUUAUCUUGAAUUUUCUGGAGGUGAGCGGAAUAUGUCAUGUAGCGGUGAAAUGCUUAGAUAUGACAUAGAACACCAAUUGCGAAGGCAGCUCACUACGGGAAUAUUGACACUGAGGCACGAAAGCGUGGGGAUCAAACAGG